rnacentral:lncRNA from 1 species
GAGAAAGAUCUUGACACUCUUCCCCUUUUCUCUGAGUACACAAAAAAAGAGACAACUUUCUAAAAAUACAGACUCUACUGUGUCAAUGCCGGAAUCUAGCUCAAGCUUCUCGUCUCUCUUUCUUCUACUCAUCAUCUUCUUCCUCCUUUUACUCUCUCCAUCGCUUUCUUCUCCCGAAUCUGAAGUUCAUGUUUUGGAUCGUGAGCUGUUAGAGAUCCAGACGAAUCCGAAGCCGGGCAAGACUAAUAGGAAACUCAAGUGCUGCGAGAUGCGGAGCAGAUCUCAGUGUUCGGCUUUCCCUAGAUGCAGGUGGUGUCGUAGUGAAGCUCUUGAUGACUUGUGCUUCAGUAAAGCUGAAGCCUUGCGACUUCCAAGUCAAGUCUUCCUUUGUGAAUUAUGAAUUAACAGGUUUGAUCUUAAAUAGCUUGUUGUAGUUCUUGCGGAGUUUCGAUGGAGAUAGAGAGAAAGUUGUUUUCUUUCUAAUUUUUUUGGCUUGUAUUGAAUCGCUUGUUCCGUUUUGUAAUCUCUGUUUGGUGUUAUUGUUGUAAUUGUUUUUGAGUGUCACAAGUUUUGAAUUGUACUGGAUCUUUUUGCUCAUAUCUAUUGAAAGGUGCUUCAUUUUGUGUUUCUUUCUUGUUAUGUUU